rnacentral:rRNA from 1 species
CCUACGGGAGGCAGCAGUGGGGAAUCUUGCGCAAUGGGCGAAAGCCUGACGCAGCCAUGCCGCGUGAAUGAUGAAGGUCUUAGGAUUGUAAAAUUCUUUCACCGGGGACGAUAAUGACGGUACCCGGAGAAGAAGCCCCGGCUAACUUCGUGCCAGCAGCCGCGGUAAUACGAAGGGGGCUAGCGUUGCUCGGAAUUACUGGGCGUAAAGGGAGCGUAGGCGGACAUUUAAGUCAGGGGUGAAAUCCCAGAGCUCAACUCUGGAACUGCCUUUGAUACUGGAUGUCUUGAGUGUGAGAGAGGUAUGUGGAACUCCGAGUGUAGAGGUGAAAUUCGUAGAUAUUCGGAAGAACACCAGUGGCGAAGGCGACAUACUGGCUCAUUACUGACGCUGAGGCUCGAAAGCGUGGGGAGCAAACAGGAUUAGAUACCCUGGUAGUCCACGCCGUAAACGAUGAUUGCUAGUUGUCGGGAUGUUUACAUCUCGGUGACGCNGCUACGCAUAAGUACACNCCGCCGUGGGAGGUACGGUCGCGAGAAGUAAACUACUAAUUAGAGUAGUUACGGCGUGNGACGNGCGACGGACGACGACGAGGGAGGAGG